AUUGUCAAUCAAUGUUUCUUAUAUAUACCACAAUUGUCUUCAGUACACAUGCAUACACCCAAGCUUGGCAUGAUACAUGCAAUAUUGAAAACAAUAUGGCAAAGGAAUAUGCAAUUCUUAUAGUCCUUAUUAGCAUGGUACUUGUGGUCUCCUGCAAUGUUGUGGACGGUAGUGCAGCAGACAUGAGGCAUGCAACGCUUCCACGCAAAGGUCUAAAGGAAGACAUCAAGCUCGCCAUCAAUGGAGUGAAUUCUCCGGUUAGCAGUAUAUCUGGACAGGCAUCUAGCAACUCUGAAACCGGCACAGACAACGAUAUGUCAAGCGCUACAGCCUUUACCUCAAAGGUGACCACUACCCAAGGUAGCCACCGUGGCUACGAGAUCCACGGGUUCCAAGGCAGUAAGAUCAGCCCCCCAUGAUGAUCGAGUGAUUCAUAUUAGGGCAAUCAAAUCAUCAGUUAUUAAUGAACAAUAGGUAUCUAUAAGGGAACCAACUAUCAAAACAACAUAUCUAAUAAUCAUAUGUUGUACUUGUGUGGAUGUGUGUAGUACCAAGUUGUGUAUUACAAGUUGUACUACAGUGUGAUGGCGUUUUCCAUGUGGUAUAGCAUAACUAUGAAGCUUUGGAUUCUCAGUAGUUUCCAAAGCACAUGUUUAUGAUACACAUGUAUUGAACUGCUAGUACAAAUAAAGUCGAUGUCUAUCAAUACUUAAUCCUAUCUUAUAUGUGAAAUAUCCAAUAAAAUA